GUGCCCUCUUCAGCAAUACAUGUACUAAAAUUGGAACGCCACAAGAAGAUCAGCACACCCCCUGUACAAGGAUGCCAUGCAAAGUCAUGAAGUGUUCCCUAUUUUU